AUGGGGGGCCAAUCUGCCCGGUGCAUUAGUUUGUAAACGGCCGCGGUAUCCUGACCGUGCGAAGGUAGCAUAAUAACUUGCCUAGUAAUUUUAGGCCGGUAUGAAGGAUCAAACGAGAGGCUAGCUGUCUCCUCUAUAACACUAAAAACUAACCUCCAGAUGAAAAGGUCUGGAUUUAAUCAAAGGACGAAAAGACCCCGUCGAGCUUAAAUGGCCCCCCGGUCCCCGAAUUUAAACCGAAUAAACCGUUUUUGUUGGGGCAACACAGGAUUAAAUCUACAGUAAAUAAGUAAAACCAUCCUUACCAAACUUUCAAACAAGAAAACACACCGAAUCUAACGCCAUCGAAAAAGCUACCGCAGGGAUAACAGCGUAAUCUCUUUUGAGAGCCCGUAUCGAUAAAGAGGAUUGCGACCUCGAUGUUGGACUAAGGAACCUGUUAGAAGCAGAAAUCUAACGCAGGGGGUCUGUUCG
rnacentral:rRNA from 1 species